AAAAAGAGGGGGAGAUUUAUCAUUUUAGGAACUUUCAGUCAGGUCUGACCUCCUACGUUGAAAUGAUUGCCCUUGCUCAGCUGAUGGCACGUGACCACAAUGCUCGCCCCUUACUAUCAUCACCUUCCAGGAAAACUGAUAAGCAGUGGUUAUUUACAAACGCAUCCACGAAAUCCAAUUAUUUCAUCUGAUGUCAGUCAUUAACGAGUGCCUACGUGGAAGGAGGAGCAGCUUUGAAGACCCCCAUAUCUCUGGAGGCAGUCCCGGGUGGCUAACAGGAAAGCUGGAAACAGGAACUUCUCCUGCAGUGCUGCACUGGGGUGUUUAGAAGUUGUCCUUCGUUAUUGAGUGUGAUGGAGUUCUUCAAGUACAUUCACUGUGACAUGGUGCUUCUACAGCCUGUUCAGAACGCCCCCUAAGAUUACACUGCUGUGUCCUAAUACCCCACAAAGAGGGCUCCUGCCUUUCAAUCACAUUUACAUGCUCGGCUAACCAGAAUUCACCAGGUCCACAAAAACACCUCUUUGUCCCUCUCUUCUCUAAGCAGAGAGCUUCAGUUCC
rnacentral:lncRNA from 1 species